AAUGUAACUGUAUGUAAUUUUAUGUCUUUUAUUGUCCUUUGUCUGCCAUGUGGUUAAUGGAGUUUUGCCUCUGUCCUUGGAGAUAAUUUGAUUACUUCACAAUUAUCUCCUGGACAGAGAGGAGGGAUUGUGAUGUAAAUGUGGGUGUGUUUUACGGUUCCCCUGUAACGAUUGGUUUUACUGUGUCCCACCCUGUGGGAUGUCCCCUUGCAUGGGGACUUGCAUAAAAGCCAGUGUGUGGCCAUUACAGACAGUUCCUGCUUAACCCUCAAAGUGAAGUGUCGUCUCA